rnacentral:rRNA from 1 species
CCGAGACCCCAGGUCAGGCGGGACUACCCGCUGAGU